UUAUAACCUGGUGGGGGA
rnacentral:rRNA from 1 species